CCCUUAGAAGUUCUGGGCUACACGCGUGUUACACUGAUAUGUUCAACAAGUUAAAAUAUUCCUUGCCCGACGGGGCUGGGUAAUCUUUUAAAAGCAUGUCGUGAUGGGGAUAGAGCAUUGUAAUUAUUGCUCUUGAACGAGGAAUUCCUAGUAAGUGCAAGUCAUUAACUUGCGCUGAUUACGUCCCUGCCCUUGUACACACCGCCCGUCGCUCCUACCGAUGAAUGGUCCGGUGAGGACUCAGGAUGCCUUUUGUCUCGGUUCGCCGUACAAAAGUGUCAGAAUUUGUUCAAACCUUAUCAUUUAAAGGAAGGAGAAGUCGUAACA
rnacentral:rRNA from 1 species